UCAUGAAAUAAUGAAGUCAUAAAACAUAAUAUAUUAAUAUUUAAUGGUACUAUAUGCCCAUGUAUUGCAUAGACAUGUGUGUCAGAUUGAAUAGAUUGGUAUGCCAAUAGGGUUUUGUUUUAGCAGUACUGCGUGAGGGUUUAUGCCUGUAUUCAUGACUUUAUGCCCGCACUCAUGGCUUUUUAGCCAUAUUGACUGCAUACGUGGUUGACGUUCCGUGUCCAAUAGUAUGACGGCCCAAGGCACCGU
rnacentral:misc_RNA from 1 species